rnacentral:rRNA from 1 species
UACGAAGGGGGCUAGCGUUGCUCGGAAUCACUGGGCGUAAAGCGCACGUAGGCGGCUUCUUAAGUCGGGGGUGAAAUCCUGGAGCUCAACUCCAGAACUGCCCUCCAAACUGCUUGGCUUGAGUCCGGGAGAGGUGAGUGGAAUUCCCAGUGUAGCGGUGAAAUGCGUAGAUAUUGGGAGGAACACCAGUGGCGAAGGCGGCUCACUGGACCGGAACUGACGCUGAGGCGCGAAAGCGUGGGGAGCAAACGGG